rnacentral:misc_RNA from 1 species
GAUGAAGAACGCAGCGAAAUGCGAUAAGUAAUGUGAAUUGCAGAAUUCAGUGAAUCAUCGAAUCUUUGAACGCACAUUGCGCCCGCCAGCAUUCUGGCGGGCAUGCCUGUUCGAGCGUCAUUUCAACCCUCGAGCCCCCCCGGGGGCCUCGGUGUUGGGGGACGGCACACCAGCCGCCCCCGAAAUGCAGUGGCGACCCCGCCACAGCCUCCCCUGCGUAGUAGCACACACCUCGCACCGGAGCGCGGAGGCGGUCACGCCGUAAAACGCCCAACUUUCUUAGAGUUGACCUCGGAUCAGGUAGGAAUACCCGCUGAACUUAAGCAUAUCAAUAAGCGGAGGA